rnacentral:rRNA from 1 species
GCCUGAUCCAGCCAUGCCGCGUGUGUGAUGAAGGCCUUAGGGUCGUAAAGCNCUUUCGCCAGAGAUGAUAAUGACAGUAUCUGGUAAAGAAACCCCGGCUAACUCCGUGCCAGCAGCCGCGGUAAUACGGAGGGGGUUAGCGUUGUUCGGAAUUACUGGGCGUAAAGCGCACGUAGGCGGAUUAGUCAGUCAGAGGUGAAAUCCCAGGGCUCAACCCUGGAACUGCCUUUGAUACUGCUAGUCUUGAGUUCGAGAGAGGUGAGUGGAAUUCCGAGUGUAGAGGUGAAAUUCGUAGAUAUUCGGAGGAACACCAGUGGCGAAGGCGGCUCACUGGCUCGAUACUGACGCUGAGGUGCGAAAGUGUGGGGAGCAAACAGGAUUAGAUACCCUGGUAGUCCACACCGUAAACGAUGAAUGCCAGUCGUCGGGCAGUAUACUGUUCGGUGACACACCUAACGGAUUAAGCAUUCCGCCUGGGGAGUACGGUCGCAAGAUUAAAACU